AACGCACAUUGCGCUCCCUGGUAUUCCGGGAAGCAUGCCCGUUUCAGAAUCAAUAAAUUGUCACCCUCCGAUGGUUAGUCUUGGCAAGAGUCAACUUUUGCCACAGGCGAGCUUGAAGAUGGUGGUCUUUGGAUGUUUGCAUGUCAAUCAUCUGCAAUACAUUGUUUGUGCACCGGUCUUCAAAGAUUUUGGUUUCAAAGUGCAGCAGAGAUUUUUCUAUUACAUUUUGAUACAAUCAAUAUCCUUGUAAUCGGACGUACAUUCCUUUCACCCUCACCAUACCAUCCAAAAUCAAGUAUGAUUUUAGAUGUCCCAUUAACUUGAUCUGAAAUCGGGCAAGAAAACCCGCUGAACUUAA
rnacentral:misc_RNA from 1 species